rnacentral:rRNA from 1 species
AGUCGACGAUGAAUCUUCUAGCUUGCUAGAAGUGGAUUAGUGGCGCACGGGUGAGUAAUGCAUAGGUUAUGUGCCCUUUAGUCUGGGAUAGCCACUGGAAACGGUGAUUAAUACUGGAUACUCCCUACGGGGGAAAGUUUUUCGCUAAAGGAUCAGCCUAUGUCCUAUCAGCUUGUUGGUGAGGUAAUGGCUCACCAAGGCUAUGACGGGUAUCCGGCCUGAGAGGGUGAUCGGACACACUGGAACUGAGACACGGUCCAGACUCCUACGGGAGGCAGCAGUAGGGAAUAUUGCUCAAUGGGGGAAACCCUGAAGCAGCAACGCCGCGUGGAGGAUGAAGGUUUUAGGAUUGUAAACUCCUUUUGUUAGAGAAGAUUAUGACGGUAUCUAACGAAUAAGCACCGGCUAACUCCGUGCCAGCAGCCGCGGUAAUACGGAGGGUGCAAGCGUUACUCGGAAUCACUGGGCGUAAAGAGUGCGUAGGCGGGGUAAUAAGUCAGAUGUGAAAUCCUGUAGCUUAACUACAGAACUGCAUUUGAAACUGUUACUCUGGAGUGUGGGAGAGGUAGGUGGAAUUCUUGGUGUAGGGGUAAAAUCCGUAGAGAUCAAGAGGAAUACUCAUUGCGAAGGCGACCUGCUGGAACAUUACUGACGCUGAUGCACGAAAGCGUGGGGAGCAAACAGGAUUAGAUACCCUGGUAGUCCACGCCCUAAACGAUGGAUGCUAGUUGUUGCCUUGCUUGUCAGGGCAGUAAUGCAGCUAACGCAUUAAGCAUCCCGCCUGGGGAGUACGGUCGCAAGAUUAAAACUCAAAGGAAUAGACGGGGACCCGCACAAGCGGUGGAGCAUGUGGUCUAAUUCGAAGAUACGCGAAGAACCUUACCUAGGCUUGACAUUGAUA